UACGAAGGGUGCAAGCGUUGCUCGGAAUUACUGGGCGUAAAGGGCUCGUAGGUGGCCAACUAAGUCGGACGUGAAAUCCCUCAGCUUAACUGGGGAACUGCGUCCGAUACUGGAUGGCUCGAGUUUGGGAGAGGGAUGCGGAAUUCCAGGUGUAGCGGUGAAAUGCGUAGAUAUCUGGAGGAACACCGGUGGCGAAGGCGGCAUCCUGGACCAACACUGACACUGAGGAGCGAAAGCCAGGGGAGCAAACGGG
rnacentral:rRNA from 1 species